rnacentral:rRNA from 1 species
CCUACGGGCGGCAGCAGUGAGGAAUAUUGGUCAAUGGACGCAAGUCUGAACCAGCCAAGCCGCGUGCAGGAAGACGGUCCUAUGAGUUGUAAACUUCUUUUGUAGGAGGGCAAACGCAGCCACGCGUAUCUUUCCGAGAGUACCGUAAGAAUAAGCAUCGGCUAACUCCGUGCCAGCAGCCGCGGUAAUACGGAGGAUUCCAGCGUUAUCCGGAUUUAUUGGGUUUAAAGGGUGCGCAGGCGGUCGGAUAAGUUAGGGGUGAAAUCCCGAGGCUCAACCUCGUGAUUGCCUUUGAUACUGUUCGGCUUGAGUGUGGGAGCGGUAUGCGGAAUGCAUGGUGUAGCGGUGAAAUGCUUAGAGAUCAUGCAGAACACCGAUUGCGAAGGCAGCUUACC